GCCAGGCUGUCUAAUGGGAGUUUUUUUUGUGUCAUGUCACUGUAUUAUUAGCCAGGCUGUCUAAUGGGAGUUAUUUUUGUGUCAUGUCACUGUAUUAUUAGCCAAGCUGUCUAAUGGGAGUUAUGUUUGUGUCAUGUCAUUGCAUUAUUAGCAAGGCUGUCUAAUGGGAGUUAUUUUUGUGUCAUGUCACUGUAUUAUUAGCCAGGCUGUCUAAAGGGAGUUAUUUUUGUGUCAUGUCACUGUAUCAUUAGCCAGGCUGUCUAAU
rnacentral:lncRNA from 1 species